GCCGACGCCACCUCCGUCUCCGCCGGGACACCCGCCGACGUCGCCGUAGCCACAGCAGGAAAUGACCCGCUCUUUCCACUGCUGCUAUCAGAAUCUGUAACCACAUUUAAAUUAUGGACAAAACACACAAAACGGUUAUUAAUUAAAGAUGAUUCGUCGCCACUGAGUCGACCUGAAGUUCGUGCUGACCAAAGUCAUCGGGUUUUACGUUCUAUCGGCAAUGGAGGGUGUUGCAGUAGCAACCCACUGGCACCAGAGGACGCGGCGUUCGAAGCCCUCCACGACGAUGACGUCAGCGAGACGAUGCUUCGGCUGGCGGGCCUCCUGUCUUGUAAGCCUGCCUGGUGAGCGGCACGUCGCACUUCCACACACAGCUCAGAUGCUCUUCCGCCGGUGCUGUCCUACAUCCUGCAAGCUAAUGCUCUCCAAGGUGUCCGCUUUUGGUCGUCCGAGGUGCAGUCCGCGAUGUACUUAUACCCGGACAUGUUUACUGUAGACAUUGCACCAAUUGGCGCACGCGUCCAGAUGUUCCUGCCGUGUCCUAGCUAUAAAGAGCGCCUGCGGCCAAGCAACUCCCGGACCAUCAGCCACCGAGGGCCCUCCAGCGCCCUCUGGGUCAGCGCCGCCUCAUUAGCGCAGACGACGACCGCGGCGGCGGGGGCGGCGGCGGGGGCGGCCGGAGUCGUGCAGCGGGCGCCGCCUCCACUCUCCGCUCCGUCCUGGUCACCGCACACCAUCUGACGUCACCAUCAGGUGUAUCAGGCGAGAAUGGCAGGGAUAUCACCGACGAAAGGACGAGCCCCGUCUGCCUUCAGUGCCUUGGAAGGACGACGAAAGAAUGACGAUCCUGGAGUACCCAGCUGUUGCAUGCGCAGCAACUACAGAAUUCUGGAGACCCGUAGAAGGAGCCCAACACACAGAAGAAGUGUGGGUGAUUAGAACCUUGGAAUGCAGCGGCUGCAGCAAACUGGGAUACAUCGCCAUCGCCUGCCACGGCAACAUAUGGAUAAAGACCUGGUCAGCUGGAGAACACUGACUGACGUUAAUAUGAAGUAAAGAACCUAUCUCUAACAGAGCGCCGCAACGCACCGACGGCCGGAUAUUCGUCGCUUCCGCCAGAGAUAGUAACCCGCCGCCGCCACCACACACUAGCCGACGUGCACCGCGGGCAGGAGGAUCCAGCUGAUGACUGUUGCUGCUCACUGCUGUCGAUUGCUUUAUUUACAAAAGUAAUUGUAAUUGAAAAACAUAUGAAUAUCGUUGUGUUAAUUGACUAAUAUGUAAGGAGACUAUGUAACAAUAAGGUGACGACGUCUUGCUGUCAGCAUCUGUUAUAUUAUUACCACGUUGUACUAACGUCAGCAGGAAGUGAACAGUAUUUUGUUGCACUUCCCAUUUAAAAAGCGUACAGUGAUUAUUUAUUUUGCUCAGGUUUAUUGAAAAUUAUUUUCCUUUUUUGAGUGCGGCUUACUGCACAAAUUG